GUAGACAUAGUUUUAACCAAAACAUUAGAUUGUGAUUCUAAAGACAAGGGUUAAACCCCCUUUGUCCACC
rnacentral:tRNA from 1 species